rnacentral:rRNA from 1 species
AUGAAGCAAGAGGAGGAGGUGGCCGAGGAAGAGGAGGCCGAGGAGGUGGUGGCCGAUGAGUAUGUGGGCGAUGAAGAGGAGGUUGUGGAGGUAACCGAAGCAAGCACGCGGCCGUCAAGGUCACAUACUACGAACUACAAUCACAAAGAGGAUGUUGCUCUUUGCGAUGCUUGGAUGAACAUCUCCACAGAUGCAGCGAUUGAAAUGGAUCAAACCAAGACUAUGUUUUGGGCAUAUACAUGUAUAUUUGUGGUGAUUUUGGAUCAAACAUUAGUUGACUCAAUCGACAACAUAUCCAUGCUAUGUUGUUGGUGA